rnacentral:lncRNA from 1 species
ACAACUUGGCCAAAACGUGUUUCUUGUGAUAGGAACCAAGUAUGUCGGGUCGUUGCCCUACGACUAAUAAGUAGAUGUAUUAUUUUGUUUUUCUUCUUUUUGUCACAUUAUAGUUUUUGUAAUUUUAUAUCAACAUACUGUAUACAUAUAUUAUAUAUCCAAUGAAAUUAAUAGUAUUUUUUUUUCUUAGAAUGAAGCCGUAGUACCCACUAUCA